rnacentral:rRNA from 1 species
UACGUAGGGUGCAAGCGUUGUCCGGAAUUAUUGGGCGUAAAGAGCUCGUAGGCGGUUUGUUGCGUCGGCUGUGAAAUCCCGAGGCUCCAACCUCGGGUCUGCAGUCGAUACGAGCAAACUAGAGUGUUGCAGGGGAGACUGGAAUUCCUGGUGUAGCGGUGAAAUGCGCAGAUAUCAGGAGGAACACCGGUGGCGAAGGCGGGUCUCUGGGCAACAACUGACGCUGGAGGAGCGAAAGCCGUGGGGAGCGAACAGG